UACGAAGGGAGCUAGCGUUGUUCGGAAUUACUGGGCGUAAAGCGCACGUAGGCGGGUCGUUAAGUCAGGGGUGAAAUCCCGGAGCUCAACUCCGGAACUGCCUUUGAUACUGGCGAUCUUGAGAUCGGAAGAGGUGAGUGGAAUUCCCAGUGUAGAGGUGAAAUUCGUAGAUAUUGGGAAGAACACCAGUGGCGAAGGCGGCUCACUGGUCCGAUACUGACGCUGAGGUGCGAAAGCGUGGGGAGCAAACAGG
rnacentral:rRNA from 1 species